rnacentral:rRNA from 1 species
UACGUAGGGUGCGAGCGUUGUCCGGAAUCAUUGGGCGUAAAGCGCACGUAGGCGGUCCAGCAAGCGGGGAGUGAAAGCCCUCGGCUUAACCGAGGAAGUGCUUUCCGAACUACUGGGCUUGAGUACGCAAGGGGGUCGCGGAAUUCCCGGUGUAGAGGUGAAAUUCGUAGAUAUCGGGAGGAACACCAGUGGCGAAGGCGGCGACCUGGGGCGAUACUGACGCUGAGGUGCGAAAGCGUGGGGAGCAAACAGG